GAUAUCUCCCCUGUCAGAUGAAUAGUUUACAAAUAUUUUCUCCAGUUCUGCGGGUUGUUCAUUCUGUUGCUUAUUUCUUUUGUUGUGCAGAGCUUUUUAGUUUAGUUAAGUCCCAGUUGUUUAUUUUUGUUUUUGUUGCCUGUGCUUCUGAGAUCUUAGUCAUAAAUUCUUUGCCUAGUCCAAUGUCCAGGAGACUUUUCCUUAUACUAGAUAGUAGAUUUUUCCUGCAAUACUAGAUUUUCUUCUAAUAAUUUAAUAAUAGUUUUGGGUCUUAUAUGUAAGUCUUUAAUCCAUCUUGAGUUGAUUUUUGUGUCUGGUGAGAGAUAGGAGUUUAAUGUCAGUUUCUUAAUAUGUAAAGUGAGGAUAAUGAUGCUUCCCUUACAGGUUAUUAUAUGGGAUACAUGAGAUAAUAUAUACAAGCAUGCUCCUUUUCCACUUCAUGGGGAUAAGGAAAAAGGAAUCCCAUCUUGUGGAAUUGACACUGAGAGACCUCUCUAGUCCUAUUACCACCAGCCAUUUUUUUCCUCUCUGAAUUAGAUCAACAUGAGCCUCCUCUUUUAUUUGGCUGUCUUGGGUUGUGUUUUUUACAUAGAAGGGUGGGAACAUUCCCAAAUGUCACUAUGAAUUACCACAGAGAAAUGUAGUAAUAGUAACAGCUGAUGUUUAUUGAAUACGCACCAUUGGCUAGACACAGUUGUAAGGGGCUUUAUCCAUAUCACCUCAUUUAAUCCUCAUAACAACUUCAUGGAGUGGGUACUACCAUCGACAAGGAAACUGAAGCACAGAAACUUUAAAUAACUUGCCCCAGUCACACAGCUAGUAGGUCAAUAAGCCCAUAUUACAAGGAUUCUUGAGCUGGAUUCCAUGCAGCUAAUGGUUUUAGGUGUGAACUGUAUGAAAAGUAUAAGCAAGUUUUUGAUUGUUGUGUUAUGUGGGGGGCUUAUAACCUUCCUUAGAUUCUCGAAGGGGCCCAUGAUGUCCAAAAGCUUUAAAAAAAAAUGACCCUUGGAGAGCUUCUGCUAGACUGGGGUCAGGAUAAAAACAGCAAUGUUGGGUAUCCACUUGUGUGGAGCUGACUCAGCCCUGGGAAUUCUAGGAAAUUUCUUGCAUGAGGAAGGAGGUGUCUCCUUCAUGAAGGCUGAGGGAUUUGUAGGAUGAUCUCGGAGGGAUUUGAAAAGGGGAAAGUGAAUGUCUUUGCUUCCCAUUCCCUAUCUUUCACUAGAUGAAGGACAACUGUUUCCUCUGUGAUUUCCCAAGUGUGAGAAGGGAGGGUGUGACAUCAGUCUAAGGAAGAGGAAGCUUGAAAAGACUGAUAAGAGACUGGAAGGGCCCCAGGCCUCAGAAAAGCACCUAGGAGCCUUUGGUCAAAAUGCAAUACAAAUCUAUCAUUGGUGACUGACUGCAUGGAGCAUGUGCUGACCGCCUGCCACCCCUGCACUUGCUACACAGCUGGCUGGGACACCAAGCUUCUCUACCUCCCCAUGACCUACAUGUCUACCUUCCUGGCGGAUGCCAUGCUCCACUAGGUUCUCCAAGGCUGGCCAAGGGCCUGUGAAGCCAAGACUCAGGUGCAUGUUUUCAUGGAUUUGGGGUAUGCCAUAAGGGGCGAUGUAUCAUGGGGAGAGAAAUAGGUUACCCCUGUCACAGAAAUAGACCUAAGGACAAGCCAGCAAGGAGAUGUCAAUAAGGCACUGGCAGGCCCCAGGUCCCUUCCCUGGGGCAACUGAAGCCUCCUCCCCUCACCUGUGCCCUCUCUGUGGCCCUCAGUGACCGGCCCUUACUUUAAAGUCAUUGCACUUUCCCUGUUGCCAUCCCUCAAGGUCCCCCACCAUAUCCCAACACACCCCCUCCUCCAGUGGCAGGGAGUGAAAGUCACGUCUGGACUCAUCUUUCUUGUUUUCCCUCCCUUUGUUGAGCCCCUGCUGUGUGCUGGAGAGAAAUUAUCUUGAAUUACCUAGUCCUCAUCCUCAGUGUCUUCGGUGUUCUGAUGAUGUUGCAAGUGUGAACUCAACAGAGAAAGCAUUAGGAGAAAGGGGUACAGAUUCCUGGGCUCAGUACAAAUUGUAGUUACAGGGUACCGUCUCUGGUUUCUCAUUUUACUGAUUUCAGGUUAAAAGUCCAGGAUAUGGAGCCUUUAGAGAGCCCUGUGUCAUUGAACAAAUCAUGUUCAGUGUAAAAACAGGUAGUGAGGUCAGAUGUUGCAGGGCCACCGAAUUUAAAACACGUAAUGAGGCUGGGUGUGGUAGCUGACACCUGUAAUCCUAGCACUUUGGUAGGCCAAAGCGGGUGAAUUAUCUGAGCUCGGGCAUUCAAGACCAGCCUGGGCAACAUGGCGAAACCCAAACUCUAUCAGAAAUGCAAAAAUUAGCUGGGCAUGUUGGUGCAUGCCUGUAGUUCAGCUACUCAAAAGGUUGAGGUAGGAAGAUCACUUGAGCCUGGGAGGCAGAGGUUGCAGUAAGCCAAGAUGGCGCCACUGCACUCUAGCCUGGGUGGCAGAAUGAUACUCUGUCUCAAAAACAAACGAAGAAAAAAACCCCAAACAAACAAAAGACAUGCAAUGAGGAGAGGAUGGAGAAAGAUGGUGGAAUAGAAGGCUUCACAAAUCCUUCUCCACUCCCCACCCCUACCAGGACAACAAGUUAACAACUAUCUACACAGAAAAGAACACCUUCAUAGAACGAACAAUCAGGUGAGCACUCAUUUUACCUGGUUUUAAUUUCAUAUUGCUAAAAGAGGCACUGAAGAGAUAGAAAAAAACAGUCAUGAGUCACAGACACUGUCCCUCCCCAAACCCUGGCUGCAGAGGCAUGGUGCUGAGAGUGCCUCUGAGUGCUGGGGGAGGGAGAACACAGUAAUUGUGAGGCACUGACCUCAGGGCUGUCCUGUUAGAGCAGAGAGGAAAACCACACCAAACUCAGCUGAUGCCUGCCUGGGGAGGGAGCAUUUAAACCACCCCUAGCCACAGGGGAAUCGCUGAUCCCAGCAGUCCUAACUUGAGUGCCCAUGAACCUCGCCACCAAGGGCUACAACAUUCUGUGUCUCCAAGUAAACCUGAAAGGCAGUCUAUGUCAUAAGGACCGCAACUCCUAGGUGAGGCCUAGUGCAGAACUAGGCCCAGAGACAGUGGAUUAGGGGGACAUGUGACAUACUGAGACACCAGCUGGGGCAGCCAAGGGAAUGUCGGCAUCACCCCUCCCCUAACUCCAGUCUGCACAACCUGAGGCUCCAAAGGAGACCCCUUUUUUCUACUUGAGCAGAGGAGAGGGAAGAGUGGGAAGGGUUUUGUCUUGCAUCUUGGAUACCAGCUCAGCUACAGCAAGAUAGGGCAAUGAUCAGAGUCAUGAGGCCCCUGUUUCAAGUCCUAGCUCCCAUAUGACAUUACUAGACAGACCCUGGGCCAGAAGGGAAAGGACCCAAUGCUAACAGCAUUCAUCACCUGCUAUCUGAAGAGAACUUGGGCCCUGAAUAACCAGUAAUUCCUAGGUGCUAAUCAAAGGCCUUGGGUGAGCCUCUGAACCUUGAUGGCUUCAGGUGAGACUCGGGACAUUGCCAGCUAUGUUGGCUAUGGAGAGAGACUCCUGCUUGAGUAAAGCAGAGAGAAAAGUAAAGGGACUUUGUCUUACACCUUAGGUGCCAGCAAGACCACAGUGGGGUAGAGCACCAAGUGGGCUAUUGUGGUUCCUGAUUCUGGGACUUGACUCUUGGAUGACAUUUUCUGGACAUACCCUGGGCCAUUGGGAAGCCUGCUGACCUGCAGGGUGAGUUCCAGGCCAGGCAGCAUUCACCACAAGCUGAUUGAAGAGAUGUUGGGCCUUAAGGGAACAUCGAUAGUUGUCUGGCAGUACUCCCUGUGGCCUGGGGUGGUGGUGGCUGCAGGUUGAGGCUCCUCUGCCUUUGGAAAAGGAAGGGAAGAGUGGGAAGGACUGUGUCUUGUGGUUUGAGUGCCCACUCAGCUACAAUUUAGUAGAAUAUCAGGUACACUUCUAAGGUUUUUGACUCUAGUCCUUGACUCCUGCACAGCACUUCUGGACCCAUAUGGGGUAUGGGGUACCUCACCAUCCUGAAGGGAAGGGCACAGGCCUAACUGACUUUGCUACUUGCUGACUGCAGAGCCCUAGGGCCUUGAGCAAACACAGGUAGUAGCCAGGGACCGGGUACAGCAGGCCUUGGGCGAGACCCAGCACUGUGCUGGCUUCAAGUCUGAUGCAAUGCAGUCAUAGUGGUGGUGACACAGGGGUGCUUGUGUCACUCCACCCCCAGCUUUAGAUGGCUCAGAACAGAGAGAGAGAUUCUGUAUGUUUGGGAGAAAGUCAGGGAAGAGAAUGAGACUGGUAUUCCAGAGAAUUCUCUCAGAUCUUGUCCAAGACUAUCAAGGUGGUACCUCUACCAGUCUGCAAGAACCAUAGCAUUACUAGGCGUGGGGUGUCCCCUAAAGCAGAUACAACUUGGAUCACAACACCUAAGUAUUUUCAAAUAUUUGGUAAGCCUUCCCAAGAAUGACAGUUACAAAUAAGCCCAGACAGUGAAGACUACAAUAAAUACCUAAGUCUUCAAUUCCCAGACACUGAAGAACAUCUACUAACAUCAACACCAUGAAGGAAAACUUGACCUCACCAAAUGAACUAAAUAAGGGACCAGGGACCAAUCCUGGAGAAACAGAUAUGUGACCUUUCAGACAAAGAAUUCAAAAUACCUGUGUUGAGGAAACUCAAAGAAAUUCAAGAUAACACAGAGAAGAAAUUUAGAAUUCUAUCAGAUAAAUUUAAUAAAAAGAUUGAAAUAAUUAAAAAGAGUCAAGCAGAAAUUCUGGAGCUGAAAAAUGCAAUUGGCAUAUUCAAGAAUGCAGCAGAGUUCUUUUUUUAUUUUUAUUUUUUAUUUUGCUUUAAGUUCUGGGAUGUGUGUGAAUAAUGUGCAGGCUUGUUACAUAGGUAUACACGUGCCAUGGUGGUUUGCUGCACGCAUCAACCCAUCAUCUAGGUUUUAAGCCCCACAUGCAUGAGGUAUUGUCCUAAUGCUACGCCUCCCCUAGCCCCCCACCCCCUGACAGGCCAUGAUGUGUGAUGUUUCCCUCCCUGUGUCCAUGUGUUCUCAUUGUUCAACUCCCACUUAUGAGUGAGAAUAUGUGGUGUUUGGUUUUCUGUUCCCGUGUUAGUUUGCUGAGAAUGAUAGUUUCUAGUGUCAUCCAUGUCCCUGCAAAGGACAUUAACUCAUUCUUUUUUAUGGCUGUAUAGUAUUCCAUGGUGUAUAUGUGCCACAUUUUCUUUUCUUUUUUUUUUCUUUUCUUUUUUUUUUGUGACAGAAUCUGGCUCUGUCGCCCAGGCUGGAGUACAGUGGCAUGAUCUCAGCUCACUGCAAGCUCUGCCUCCUGGGUUCAUGCCAUUCUCCUGCCUCAGCCUUCCGAAUAGCUGGGACUACAGGCGCCCACCACCACGCCCAGCUAAUUUUUUGUAUUUUUAGUAGAGACGGGGUUUCACUGUGUUAGCCAGGAUGGUCUCGAUCUCCUGACCUCGUAAUCCGCCCACCUCAGCCUCCCAAAGUGUUGGGUUUACAGGCAGGAGCCACUGUGCCCAGCCAUGUGCCACGUUUUCUUUAUCCAGUCUAUCAUUGAUGGACAUUUGGGUUGGUUCCAAGUCUUUGCUAUUGUAAAUAGUGCAGUAAUAAACAUACGUGUGCAUGUG